AAGACUAUACUUUCAGGGAUCAUUUCUAUAGUUUCUAACUGUGAAAUGUGAUUCGAAAGUGUUUUGUCUCCCUAACCACGAUGAUGAGUUGAGAUGUUUUCUUCUGAGCGUGAAUCGGGCGGAGAGUAAUGAUUUAUCAUCAUACGCUCUCUGUCAUUGAUGAACGUUCCUGCUGUGUUUCACAGUGCUGGAGGAAGAGAACAUGUACAGAGUGGU
ensembl:snoRNA U3 Small nucleolar RNA U3